GAAAAGCUCAUUUGGGUAAGGCCACAAUCAUUUUUAUUUCUGCCCUCUUAUGAAUGCUUAGUAACAAAUUAGAAUUUUCUUUAUUUUUAGCAUAAAUCCAGUCCUGUUUGAGAGCUUCAAGGGGGUGACCAUUGGGUGGAACUGCAAGGAAAGAGCAGGGAUACCCUUCACUAUAUUUGGAGGACAUAGGUGUUUAGGGGACCCUAUCAAGAGAAAGUUGGAAUAAUUGUGGAAAAAACAAGUAGGUAGAAAGGAAAGUCCUGGUUUUUCAGGGAAUAUCCAAAAUCAUGUUUUCAACCAACACCUCUCAGUGAAGUAGUGAAAAAUCAGUGACCGAGGUGUCUACUCCAGCGUCCAAUCCCACUUCGGCUACUUAUGAACUACAUGUGGUUAGUUUGACCUCUCUGGAUUAAUAAUAGUUACUACUGCACGGGAUUAUGGGGAGGCUUCAAUGAAAUCACACAGGUAAAACCCCUGGCGCAGCGCCUACUGGUCAUCACUGUUCAAAAACAUGUUACUAUCGUUAUAAUUAUCACUAUUUUCUAGAUGUCAAUGUUCAAAGUAGUCCAAGUGGUGACAGGAUGUUUUCACUGGGUAUCCAUCCACCCUCUCGAGUUAUCAGGAUCCAAGUGGAUUUUUCACAGAUCAGGUGAGUGGACAGGUAAGACAAACAUAGUUGAUGUAGGAAACAGGUAAACACAUUGAUUACAUGUCCUCAGUGCAGGCUCAUGAGGCGAUGAGCCUUGGUUCCAGUGAUAGGCAGGAUUCCCUGAGUGCUGACAUAGAGGUCCUCUCCAAAGUCUUGGUACUCAUAACCUCAGCAUUCAUCUAUAAUAUUCACAUGAUGUCACAGGGCACGGUGGCC
rnacentral:lncRNA from 1 species